UACGUAGGGUGCAAGCGUUGCCCGGAUUUAUUGGGCGUAAAGGGCGCGUAGGCGGCCCUGGCAGUCGGUGGUGAAAGCCCGUGGCUCAACUGCGGGUCGGCCACCGAUACUCCAGGGCUCGAGUUUGGUAGAGGCAGAGUGGUCGAAUUCCGGGUGUAGCGGUGGAAUGCGUAGAGAGUCCGGAAGAACACCGGUGGCGAAGGCGGCCUGCUGG
rnacentral:rRNA from 1 species